AGUGAACGCUGGCGGUAGGCCUAACACAUGCAAGUCGAACGGCAGCACAGUAAGAGCUUGCUCUUACGGGUGGCGAGUGGCGGACGGGUGAGGAAUACAUCGGAAUCUACUUUUUCGUGGGGGAUAACGUAGGGAAACUUACGCUAAUACCGCAUACGACCUACGGGUGAAAGCAGGGGAUCUUCGGACCUUGCGCGAUUGAAUGAGCCGAUGUCGGAUUAGCUAGUUGGCGGGGUAAAGGCCCACCAAGGCGACGAUCCGUAGCUGGUCUGAGAGGAUGAUCGGCCACACUGGAACUGAGACACGGUCCAGACUCCUACGGGAGGCAGCUGUGGGGAAUAUUGGACAAUGGGCGCAAGCCUGAUCCAGCCAUACCGCGUGGGUGAAGAAGGCCUUCGGGUUGUAAAGCCCUUUUGUUGGGAAAGAAAAGCAGCAGGUUAAUACCCCGCUGUUCUGACGGUACCCAAAGAAUAAGCACCGGCUAACUUCGUG
rnacentral:rRNA from 1 species